AGGGGGAUAAUUAAUAAUUUAAUUAUUAAUAAAAGAAUUUUUAAUAUAAAUAUUUAAUGGGGGUUAAAGUAUUUAUAUAGAAAAAAUUGAAAAUUUUAUAGUUUAUUUGUAUUGUGGGGGGAUUUUGAAAUAAUAUGAAAAUAAAUUAUUUUAAAAGUAAAUUUUAUUUAUUGUAUCUUGUGUAUCAGAGUUUAUUAAAAAUAAUUUAUUAAAAAUAAAUUUCUCGAAUUUAAAAGAGUUAAUUAAUUAAUAAUAAGUUAUUGUAGUAUAAAUAUUUUUAAUAAUUAAUUUGAAAUGAAAUGUUAUUCGUUUUUAAAUAUAUCUAGUUUUUUUAGAAAAAAAUUUAAUUUUUUAUUAAUUAAAAUUUUUAUUUAUUUAUUAAUAAAAAUAAUUUUUAAUAAAAUAAUUUAAGGGAUAAUCUUUAAAUUAAAUUUUUAUAAUAAUUUAUAUUUAAUUUUAAAAAUUUUAUAAUUUAUAUUGUUAAUAAAUUUAAAUUUAUUAUAAAUAAUUUUAUUUAAAGUAAAAUUUAAUUUUAUUUAAUUUUUUAUAUAAAAAUAAUUUUUAAUAAUUAAAAAUUAAUUAUAAUGAUAAAAUUAGUAAAAUAUUAUUAAAAUUUAUUUAAAAUAAAUUUAAUUAUUUAAAAGGAAUUCGGCAAAAAUUUAUAUUCACUUGUUUAUCAAAAACAUGUCUUUUUGAAAUUAAUUUAAAGUCUAAUCUGCCCACUGAUAAUUUAUUAAAGGGCUGCAGUAUUUUGACUGUACAAAGGUAGCAUAAUCAUUAGUCUUUUAAUUGAUGACUUGUAUGAAAGAUUGGAUGAAAUAUAUUCUGUCUCUUAAAUAUUUUAUUGAAUUUAAUUUUUUAAUUAAAAAGUUAAAAUUUAUUAAAAAGACGAGAAGACCCUAUAGAGUUUUAUAAUUUAUUUAUUAAAAUUUUUUUAUUAAGUUUUAUAUAAAUUAAAAUUAUUUUGUUGGGGUGAUAAAAAAAUUAAAUUAACUUUUUUUAAAAAUUUACAUAAAUAAAUGAUUUUAUGAUCCAAUUUUAUUGAUUAUAAGAUAAAAUUACCUUAGGGAUAACAGCGUAAUUUUUUUUUUUAGUUCAAAUAAAAAAAAAAGUUUGCGACCCCGAUGUUGGAUUAAAAUAAAAAUUAAAUGUAAAAGUUUAAAUUUUUGAUCUGUUCAAUCAUUAAAAUCUUACAUGAUCUGAGUUCAAACCGGUGUAACCCAGGUUGGUUUCUAUCUUUUAAAUUUAAAAAUAUUUUAGUACGAAAGGAUUAAAUAUUUCAAUUAUAUUGAUUUAAUUUAAUAUAUAUAUAUAUAUAUAUAUAUAUAUAUAUAUAUAUUAUUUAAGAAUAUUAUUAAGUUUUAUUUAAAUUUUUAUUUUAAUUAAUUUAUAACUAAU
rnacentral:rRNA from 1 species